rnacentral:rRNA from 1 species
GAUGAACGCUGGCGGCGUGCCUAAUACAUGCAAGUCGAGCGAACAGACGAGGAGCUUGCUCCUCUGACGUUAGCGGCGGACGGGUGAGUAACACGUGGAUAACCUACCUAUAAGACUGGGAUAACUUCGGGAAACCGGAGCUAAUACCGGAUAACAUGUUGAACCGCAUGGUUCGACAGUGAAAGACGGUCUUGCUGUCACUUAUAGAUGGAUCCGCGCCGCAUUAGCUAGUUGGUAAGGUAACGGCUUACCAAGGCAACGAUGCGUAGCCGACCUGAGAGGGUGAUCGGCCACACUGGAACUGAGACACGGUCCAGACUCCUACGGGAGGCAGCAGUAGGGAAUCUUCCGCAAUGGGCGAAAUCCUGACGGAGCAACGCCGCGUGAGUGAAGAAGGUCUUCGGAUCGUAAAACUCUGUUAUUAGGGAAGAACAAAUGUGUAAGUAACUAUGCACGUCUUGACGGUACCUAAUCAGAAAGCCACGGCUAACUACGUG